rnacentral:rRNA from 1 species
UACGUAGGGUGCGAGCGUUGUCCGGAAUUAUUGGGCGUAAAGAGCUCGUAGGCGGUGUGUCGCGUCGGCCGUGAAAACUUGGGGCUUAACUCUGAGCGUGCGGUCGAUACGGGCAUCACUUGAGUUCGGCAGGGGAGACUGGAAUUCCUGGUGUAGCGGUGAAAUGCGCAGAUAUCAGGAGGAACACCGGUGGCGAAGGCGGGUCUCUGGGCCGAUACUGACGCUGAGGAGCGAAAGCUAGGGUAGCAAACGGG